UUCUUGGUCAAUUAGAGGAAGUAAAAGUCGUAACAAGGUUUCCGUAGGUGAACCUGCGGAAGGAUCAUUAUAGUAAUUGACCGGGAGGUUAGAUGCUGGCCCGCGAGGGCAUGUGCGCGCCUCUCUUUCUCACAUACCCCUUGGUUGGGGAUGCCCUCCCUCGGAGGGGGGCGUUCCCUUCCACCCUAUACCACAUCCUGUCUAAUCGCAUGUCUUGAAUGCUCUACGGAGCGGGUUACAUUUUGUACAACUUUCAACAACGGAUCUCUUGGCUUUUGCAUCGAUGAAGGACGCCGCGAAAGCGCGAAACGUAAUGUGAAUUGCAGAAUUCAGUGAAUCAUCGAAUCUUUGAACGCAUCUUGCGCUCCUUGGUAUUCCGAGGAGCAUGCCUGUUUGAGUGUCGUGAAACCACUCGACCCCUUCCUUUUGAAAAGGAGGGGGUUGGAUUUGGACGCUUGCCGCGGUCUGACGCGGCUCGUCUUUAAAUGCAUUAGCUGGCCCUUUCGAACCGGUGUAAUGUGGACGGUGUGAUAAUUAAACGCUUUGAACGCCGUCCGAGCCGAUUUGGAUUUGGGUUGCUUACAGUCGUCUUCGGACAUUUCAUGUCGUCUGACCUCAAAUCAGGUAGGACUACCCGCUGAACUUAAGCAUAUCAAUAAGCCGGAGGAA
rnacentral:rRNA from 1 species